UACGAAGGGGGCUAGCGUUGUUCGGAAUUACUGGGCGUAAAGCGCGCGCAGGCGGCUAUCCAAGUCAGUGGUGAAAGCCCGGAGCUCAACUCCGGAACUGCCAUUGAAACUGUUUAGCUUGAGGACGAGAGAGGUGAGUGGAAUUCCCAGUGUAGAGGUGAAAUUCGUAGAUAUUGGGAAGAACCCCGGUGGCGAAGGCGGCUCACUGGCUCGUAUCUGACGCUCAGGCGCGAUAGCGUGGGGAUCAAACAGG
rnacentral:rRNA from 1 species